CCUGCUAGCUCUUUCGUGUGUGUGAAUGUGCGUGUUUUUUCCCCUUCCCUCCACCUCCCUUCCUCUCUUGCUUUUUCUUUCAGAAAUAGACAGCCUACAGUCUGAAGAGAAGCUUAGAGAGAAAUCUAUGCCUUUUUGUCAUACAUGAUGAACUGAAUAAUCUCACGAGAAAGAGUUUAAGCAUCGUAGGGGCCUGUGAAGAACAUGGAUAUGGAUCCUCUAAGAAAGAUUUUUGUAUACUGUAAUAGGAAAAUGAGAGAGCAUUGCUAAAUGAGUCAGGAAGCAGCAACUACUUCCCUUGACAAUUACUGCUUUGCAUUAGAGCAGAGAAGCACCCAGACACCGGAAACAUCAUCUAAGGAGCAGCAGCAUGAUGACAAAGGACAAAACAUACAAUACAUUGA